AACGAACGCUGGCGGCAGGCCUAACACAUGCAAGUCGAGCGAGGACUUCGGUCCUAGCGGCGGACGGGUGAGUAACGCGUGGGAACGUGCCCCUUGGUACGGAAUAGCCCCGGGAAACUGGGAGUAAUACCGUAUGAGCUCUACGGAGGAAAGAUUUAUCGCCAAGGGAUCGGCCCGCGUUGGAUUAGGUAGUUGGUGGGGUAAUGGCCUACCAAGCCGACGAUCCAUAGCUGGUUUGAGAGGAUGAUCAGCCACACUGGGACUGAGACACGGCCCAGACUCCUACGGGAGGCAGCAGUGGGGAAUCUUAGACAAUGGGCGCAAGCCUGAUCUAGCCAUGCCGCGUGAGCGAUGAAGGCCUUAGGGUUGUAAAGCUCUUUCAGCGAGGAAGAUAAUGACUGUACUCGCAGAAGAAGCCCCGGCCAACUCCGUGCCAGCCGCCGCCGUAAAAC
rnacentral:rRNA from 1 species